CCAAGUUAAAUGUAUAAUAAAUAGAAUAAUUGAAAAAUAUAAAUAACAUAGGAAUUGGUAACUCAGUUCAGUACAAAAUCACCUACGCCUAGAGGGUGCUAAUCAAAUGAAAGGAAAUUCACUCUUAACUGUCAGAAGUACAAAUUGGUCGGAUUUGAACUCUCAUAGUUUAAUGCCUAUUUUCCUAAUACUAUCCGUGAAUUUAUAUUCUUUACUCUCUAUAAAAAGAACUCCACUCC
rnacentral:lncRNA from 1 species